UACGUAGGGUGCAAGCGUUAAUCGGAAUUACUGGGCGUAAAGCGUGCGCAGGCGGUGAUGUAAGACAGAUGUGAAAUCCCCGGGCUCAACCUGGGAACUGCAUUUGUGACUGCAUCGCUAGAGUACGGCAGAGGGGGAUGGAAUUCCGCGUGUAGCAGUGAAAUGCGUAGGUAUGCGGAGGAACACCGAUGGCGAAGGCAAUCCCCUGGGCCUGUACUGACGCUCAUGCACGAAAGCGUGGGGAGCAAACAGG
rnacentral:rRNA from 1 species